rnacentral:SRP_RNA from 1 species
AGGCACAGUCAUGCGUGUCUGUAGUCCCAGCUAUUUGGGCAGUCGAGGCUUGACGAUCGCUAGAGUCCAGGAGUUCUGGGCUGUAGUAUGCUAUGCCGAUCAGGUGUCCGCACUAAGUUUGGCAUCAAUAUGGUGACCUCCUGGGAGUGGGAGACCACUAGGUUGCCUAAGGAGGGGUGAACUGGCCAAGGUUGGAAACAAAGCAGGUCAAAACUCCUGGGCUGAUCGGUAGUGGGAUCACGCCUGUGAAUAGCCACUGCACUCCAGCCUGGGCAACAUAGCGAGACCCCCUCUCA